rnacentral:rRNA from 1 species
UACGUAGGGUGCAAGCGUUGUCCGGAAUUAUUGGGCGUAAAGGGCUCGUAGGCGGUUUGUCGCGUCGGGAGUGAAAACUCAGGGCUUAACCCUGAGCCUGCUUCCGAUACGGGCAGACUAGAGUGCGGUAGGGGUGACUGGAAUUCCUGGUGUAGCGGUGGAAUGCGCAGAUAUCAGGAGGAACACCGAUGGCGAAGGCAGGUCACUGGGCCGCAACUGACGCUGAGGAGCGAAAGCAUGGGGAGCGAACAGG